rnacentral:rRNA from 1 species
GCGGGAAGAGCUCAAAUUUAAAAUCUGGCAGGCUACGCUUGUCCGAAUUGUAAUCUCGAGAAGUGUUUUCCGCGUUGGCCUGUGUACAAGUCCCUUGGAACAGGGCGUCAUAGAGGGUGAGAAUCCCGUCCUUGACACAGACACCCAAUGCUUUGUGAUACACUCUCAAUGAGUCGAGUUGUUUGGGAAUGCAGCUCAAAAUGGGUGGUAAAUUCCAUCUAAAGCUAAAUACUGGCGAGAGACCGAUAGCGAACAAGUACCGUGAGGGAAAGAUGAAAAGCACUUUGGAAAGAGAGUCAAACAGUACGUGAAAUUGUUGAAAGGGAAACGAUUGAAGUCAGUCGUGCCUGCCUAGUCUCAGCCUUUUGGUGUACUACUAGGUCGGCAGGUCAGCAUCAGUUUGGGAGGAUUAACAAGGGAGUUAGGAAUGUGGCAACCUCGGUUGUGUUAUAGCCUAGCUUCGCAUUGAUCUUGCUGGACUGAGGAACGCAGUGCGCCCGCAAGGGUUGGUCUUCGGACACAUUCGCACUUAGGAUGCUGGCAUAAUGGCUUUAAACGACCCGUCUU